UGGGGAAUUUUGGACAAUGGGGGCAACCCUGAUCCAGCAAUGCCGCGUGUGUGAAGAAGGCCUUCGGGUUGUAAAGCACUUUUGUCCGGGAAGAAAUCCCCUGCCCUAAUACGGCGGGGGAUGACGGUACCGGAAGAAUAAGCACCGGCUAACUACGUGCCAGCAGCCGCGGUAAUACGUAGGGUGCGAGCGUUAAUCGGAAUUACUGGGCGUAAAGCGUGCGCAGGCGGUGAUGUAAGACCGAUGUGAAAUCCCCGGGCUCAACCUGGGAACUGCAUUGGUGACUGCAUUGCUCGAGUAUGGCAGAGGGGGGUGGAAUUCCACGUGUAGCAGUGAAAUGCGUAGAGAUGUGGAGGAACACCGAUGGCGAAGGCAGCCCCCUGGGCCAAUACUGACGCUCAUGCACGAAAGCGUGGGGAGCAAACAGGAUUAGAUACCCUGGUAGUCCACGCCCUAAACGAUGUCAACUGGUUGUCGGGCCUUCAUUGGCUUGGUAACGUAGCUAACGCGUGAAG
rnacentral:rRNA from 1 species